rnacentral:rRNA from 1 species
UACGAAGGAAGCUAGCGUUGUUCGGAAUCACUGGGCGUAAAGCGCACGUAGGCGGUUUGUUAAGUCAGGGGGGAAAUCCUGGAGCUCAACUCCAGAACUGCCUUUGAUACUGGCGAUCUCGAGUCCGGGAGAGGUGAGUGGAACUGCGAGUGUAGAGGUGAAAUUCGUAGAUAUUCGCAAGAACACCAGUGGCGAAGGCGGCUCACUGGCCCGGUACUGACGCUGAGGUGCGAAAGCGUGGGGAGCAAACAGG